CUCCAGGUCUGAAAUGCAUAGUUGAAUUGCCACUUGCAAAAUCUUCACAUUGAUGUCUAUGCAAUGAAGGAUAUUAUGGAGAAUCUCAUGCUGAUCAAAAUCUUCUCAAAGUCCUCAGCUCCUCCUACCCCACAGGAAUGCUCCUAUUUGACCAGGUGCUCAAAUCAAUUUGUCUUUGCUGAAACCUCCAGGGGAAAUGUUCUAUACUGGGUCACUUUCUUGAUGCCUGAGAUUUAUUCAAAUGGAUGACACGGAUUCAGUAUUUCUGAAAGUGAGACUUGUGUUUUGGCCAUAGUUGCAGUGGAUUUGAGCUGUUCAUUUUCUCUCGAGUGGUUUCCUUGAGUUCCUUCUGGCUCAAGAAUCACUUUGAAGCUGAUGGAUGAUGUUUUUGCUUACUUAAUAAACUUUGAG
rnacentral:lncRNA from 1 species